rnacentral:rRNA from 1 species
GACGAACGCUGGCGGCGUGCCUAACACAUGCAAGUCAAAGGAAAGCAACUUCGGUUGUAAGUACUUGGCGCAAGGGUGAGUAAUGUAUAGGUAAUCUGCCCUUAGGACUGGCAUAACCUCGAGAAAUCGAGGACAAUACCAGAUGAUGCAGCGGGACCGCAUGGUCAUGUUGUUAAAGAUUUAUCGCCUAAGGAUGAACCUAUAUCCCAUCAGGUAGUUGGCAGGAUAAUAGCCUACCAAGCCUACGACGGGUAGCUGGUCUGAGAGGAUGAUCAGCCCCAUUGGAACUGAGACACGGUCCAGACUCCUACGGGAGGCACCAGUGAGGAAUAUUGCGCAAUGGGCGAAACCCUGACGCAGCAACGCCGCGUGGAUGAUGAAGUUCUUCGGAAUGUAAAGUCCUUUUGUAGAGGAAGAACAUGUCGGUUUACCGGCACUGACGGUACUCUGCGAAUAAGCCACGGCUAACUCUGU